GACGAACGCUGGCGGUGUGCUUAACACAUGCAAGUCGAACGAGUGGCGAACGGGUGAGUAACACGUUGGUGACCUGCUCUGCACUUCGGGAUAAACCUGGGAAACUGGGUCUAAUACCGGAUAGUGUGGGACGGGCCCGCGGCCAAUUAGCUUGUUGGGGGGGUAAUGGCUACCAAGGCGGGAGGGGUAGCCGGCCUGAGAGGGUGAGCGGCCACAUGGGGACUGAGACACGGCCCAGACUCCUACGGGAGGCAGCAGUAGGGAAUAUUGCGCAAUGGGCGAAAGCCUGAGGCAGCCAUGCCGCGUGUAUGAAGAAGGCCUUAGGGUUGUAAAGUACUUUCAGCGGGGAGGCGUUACCCGCAGAGGAAGCACCGGCUAACUCCGUGCCAGCAGCCGCGGUAAUAC
rnacentral:rRNA from 1 species